rnacentral:ncRNA from 1 species
UACUGAUAAUGACAAACCUAUCGAAAGAUAGGGACGUAAAGCCCAUGGGUCUAAGGUUUAUUCUAUGACAGCCGGGUUGCCAAA